UAACCUGAUUGGAUACUGCAAUGAUGGCGCUAAUAAAUUGCUUGUUUUAGAGUUUGUUCCUAACCAAUCUUUGAGAUUUCAUCUAAGUGAUGAAAAUGGAAGAUCAAAUUUGAACUGGUCAAAAAGAAUGAAAAUCGCCGUAGGCUCUGCGAGAGGUUUAGCACAUCUUCAUGACGAAUGUUAUCCUAAAAUCAUUCAUGGAGACAUCAAAUCAGACAAUAUUCUCUUAGACAAUGAUUUUACACCAAAGGUUGCAGAUUUUGGGCUUGCUAAAAUUUUUUCAGAAAUUGGUGUCAGUCACAUCCCCUUCGAUCAAGAAGAAGCUAGCAUGUAAGAUAUUUUAUUUACUUUUUUUUCCUUGUUCACUCUAAUUACAUGGUUAUUAUUUUUUUAUUUUCUUCUAAAAAAUAGAAAAAAAAAUUAAAAAGAAAACUAAGGAUGUUAGAAUUCUCAGCCCUGAUCGAGGAAAUUAUAUGCCACUCUUACUAUUUUUGUAGGAUUAACAAAUGAAAUAGUAAUCAAAUUAAAAAUAAAUACGUAUAAAAAACUGUUAGUAAUUUUUUCAACCACCAAGUAAUUACUAUUCUAUAGAAUCUACUUAUAUACACUUGUUUAUACUCUGUGAUCAACCGUUUAUUAUAUAAACUUCGUACAGGUUAGAGCACGAAAUCUGUACUUGGGUUUGGACAUAACACAUUUUCAUUAAAAUAGUUUGUCAUUAUGACUUGUUAUUUAAAUGAUCCUUAAAUUUCUUUUCUUUGGCAUGUAUGACAAGUCACAUUCCAGCAAAGGAUUUGCAGAUUUAUGGCGAGCAAAGAUUUUAUUUUUUUUAGAAAAUUUCUCAAUGCGAUUGUUCUAUGUAUUUUUCACCAUGCAGCUAUAUAGAUCCAGAAAAUUAUUAUUUUCAAAAUAUUUCUGAGAAGUCGGAUGUUUAUUCCUUUGGGGUUAUACUUCUGGAGCUUAUUACUGGAAGAAGAUUACUAUCUAAAGGCCAAGUUGAUAUCGUGAAUUGGGUAAGCCGCGAAGUCCAUACAUUUCCUUUUUCUCUUUCCAGAAAAAAAAAAUCAUGAAAGUCAUAUGAUCUUGCAGCUUAUUUUAGUUGACAAUCUAUUCUCGAGUGUGUUGUCUUCCACGUUAAAGUGAGAUUUGAUAUUUACAAUGCUUUAAGGUAAGGUUUGGUCUUCCUCAAAAAAAAAAAAAAACAUUUGUUUUAUAUGUUCUAUUAAAGGGUUAAAGUAAAAAAAAAAUACAAACAUUUUUCCAUUUUUACAAUUUCAUUCCAUUAUUUUAAUUUU
rnacentral:misc_RNA from 1 species